rnacentral:rRNA from 1 species
CGGGUAGAGUAAUAUAUCGGAACGUGCCCAGUAAUGGGGGAUAGCCCGGCGAAAGCCGGAUUAAUACCGCAUACGACCUACGGGUGAAAGCAGGGGAUCGCAAGACCUUGCGUUAUUGGAGCGGCCGAUAUCAGAUUAGCUUGUUGGUGGGGUAAAAGCCCACCAAGGCGACGAUCUGUAGCUGGUCUGAGAGGACGACCAGCCACACUGGGACUGAGACACGGCCCAG